rnacentral:tRNA from 1 species
GGUUGUGGCUCAGUGGUAAGAGCGCAUACCUAGCAUGUGUGAGGCACUGGGUUCAAUCCUCAGCACCA